CCUACGGGAGGCAGCAGUGGGGAAUUUUGGACAAUGGGCGAAAGCCUGAUCCAGCCAUGCCGCGUGCAGGAUGAAGGCCUUCGGGUUGUAAACUGCUUUUGUACGGAACGAAAAGGUCUUUUCUAAUAAAGAAGGCUCAUGACGGUACCGUAAGAAUAAGCACCGGCUAACUACGUGCCAGCAGCCGCGGUAAUACGUAGGGUGCGAGCGUUAAUCGGAAUUACUGGGCGUAAAGCGUGCGCAGGCGGUUAUAUAAGACAGUUGUGAAAUCCCCGGGCUCAACCUGGGAACUGCAUCUGUGACUGUAUAGCUAGAGUACGGUAGAGGGGGAUGGAAUUCCGCGUGUAGCAGUGAAAUGCGUAGAUAUGCGGAGGAACACCGAUGGCGAAGGCAAUCCCCUGGACCUGUACUGACGCUCAUGCACGAAAGCGUGGGGAGCAAACAGGAUUAGAUACCCUGGUAGUCCACGCCCUAAACGAUGUCAACUGGUUGUUGGGUCUUCACUGACUCAGUAACGAAGCUAACGCGUGAAGUUGACCGCCUGGGGAUACGGCCGCAAGGUUGAAACUUAGAAUUGACGUGNGNGNGAGACGAGACGACGACGAGGAGGAGGGAG
rnacentral:rRNA from 1 species